GGAUUAGAUACCCUGGUAGUCCACGCCGUAAACGAUGAGAACUAGAUGUCGGGGGGAUCUGCCCUUCGGUGUCGCAGCUAACGCGUUAAGUUCUCCGCCUGGGGAGUACGCCGGCAACGGUAAAACUCAAAGGAAUUGACGGGGACCCGCACAAGCGGUGGAGCAUGUGGUUUAAUUCGAUGCAACGCGAAGAACCUUACCUGCCCUUGACAUCCUCAGAACUUGUCAGAGAUGACUUGGUGCCUUCGGGAACUGAGUGACAGGUGCUGCAUGGCUGUCGUCAGCUCGUGCCG
rnacentral:rRNA from 1 species